CAGUGUAGUGGGGCAGCUGGGUCGAUCAGUGGGACGUUCUAGCCGGUGACGGGAAUAAGAAGCUUAACAACAUUGCUAGAUACCUACCAGUGGACAGGACGAGUGAUGAGUCUCGUGCUGCUUCUGCUGAUCAGUGGUCAAAUAUUAGCCCAUGCAACAGCGCAGACUACCGGGCUGGCCGCUGCUCCUCAAACAAACGCCACCAUCGAAGUUACUUGCUCAGAGGGUCUGUACCGCUGCGGCGACGGACGGUGCUGCCACCUGGCCGAGUCUGGUGGGAGUCGGAAAGAAGCCCGGCCGACUACAGGUGGCGCCCUGAUCGCCGGCGUUCUACUGGUGCUGCCGCUCUGCUGAACAACUGAUGAUUGAGUCGAGGAAUUAGAAAAAUAAAGACGUUUUUUU